rnacentral:rRNA from 1 species
AGAGUUUGAUUAUGGCUCAGAUUGAACGCUGGCGGCAGGCCUAACACAUGCAAGUCGAGCGGUAGAGAGAAGCUUGCUUCUCUUGAGAGCGGCGGACGGGUGAGUAAUGCCUAGGAAUCUGCCUGGUAGUGGGGGAUAACGUUCGGAAACGGACGCUAAUACCGCAUACGUCUUACGGGAGAAAGCAGGGGACCUUCGGGCCUUGCGCUAUCAGAUGAGCCUAGGUCGGAUUAGCUAGUUGGUGAGGUAAUGGCUCACCAAGGCGACGAUCCGUAACUGGUCUGAGAGGAUGAUCAGUCACACUGGAACUGAGACACGGUCCAGACUCCUACGGGAGGCAGCAGUGGGGAAUAUUGGACAAUGGGCGAAAGCCUGAUCCAGCCAUGCCGCGUGUGUGAAGAAGGUCUUCGGAUUGUAAAGCACUUUAAGUUGGGAGGAAGGGCAGUUACCUAAUACGUGAUUGUUUUGACGUUACCGACAGAAUAGGCACCGGCUAACUCUGUGCCAGCAGCCGCGGUAAUACAGAGGGUGCAAGCGUUAAUCGGAAUUACUGGGCGUAAAGCGCGCGUAGGUGGUUAGUUAAGUUGGAUGUGAAAUCCCCGGGCUCAACCUGGGAACUGCAUUCAAAGCUGACUGACUAGAGUAUGGUAGAGGGUGGUGGAAUUUCCUGUGUAGCGGUGAAAUGCGUAGAUAUAGGAAGGAACACCAGUGGCGAAGGCGACCACCUGGACUGAUACUGACACUGAGGUGCGAAAGCGUGGGGAGCAAACAGGAUUAGAUACCCUGGUAGUCCACGCCGUAAACGAUGUCAACUAGCCGUUGGGAGCCUUGAGCUCUUAGUGGCGCAGCUAACGCAUUAAGUUGACCGCCUGGGGAGUACGGCCGCAAGGUUAAAACUCAAA